rnacentral:rRNA from 1 species
AGGAAUAUUGGUCAAUGGACGAGAGCCUGAACCAGCCAAGUAGCGUGAAGGAUGAAGGUCCUACGGAUUGUAAACUUCUUUUAUAAGGGAAUAAACCCUCCCACGUGUGGGAGCUUGUAUGUACCUUAUGAAUAAGCAUCGGCUAACUCCGUGCCAGCAGCCGCGGUAAUACGGAGGAUGCGAGCGUUAUCCGGAUUUAUUGGGUUUAAAGGGAGCGCAGACGGGUCGUUAAGUCAGCUGUGAAAGUUUGGGGCUCAACCUUAAAAUUGCAGUUGAUACUGGCGUCCUUGAGUGCGGUUGAGGUGUGCGGAAUUCGUGGUGUAGCGGUGAAAUGCUUAGAUAUCACGAAGAACUCCGAUUGCGAAGGCAGCACACUAAUCCGUAACUGACGUUCAUGCUCGAAAGUGUGGGUAUCAAACAGGAUUAGAUACCCUGGUAGUCCACACGGUAAACGAUGGAUACUCGCUGUUGGCGAUAUACUGUCAGCGGCUUAGCGAAAGCGUUAAGUAUCCCACCUGGGGAGUACGCCGGCAACGGUGAAACUCAAAGGAAUUGACGGGGGCCCGCACAAGCGGAGGAACAUGUGGUUUAAUUCGAUGAUACGCGAGGAACCUUACCCGGGCUUAAAUUGCAAAGGAAUAAUCUGGAAACAGGUUAGUCUUCGGACCUUUGUGAAGGUGCUGCAUGGUUGUCGUCAGCUCGUGCCGUGAGGUGUCGGCUUAAGUGCCAUAACGAGCGCAACCCUCGCCGCCAGUUACUAACAGUUAAAGCUGAGGACUCUGGCGGGACUGCCAUCGUAAGAUGUGAGGAAGGUGGGGAUGACGUCAAAUCAGCACGGCCCUUACGUCCGGGGCUACACACGUGUUACAAUGGGCGGUACAGAAGGCAGCUACCUGGCGACAGGAUGCCAAUCCCUAAAGCCGCUCUCAGUUCGGACUGGAGUCUGCAACCCGACUCCACGAAGCUGGAUUCGCUAGUAAUCGCGCAUCAGCCACGGCGCGGUGAAUACGUUCCCG